UACGUAGGUGGCGAGCGUUGUCCGGAAUCACUGGGCGUAAAGGGCGCGUAGGCGGCCUGAUAAGUAGGGGGUGAAAUCCUGCGGCUUAACCGCAGGGCUGCCUUCUAAACUGUCAGGCUGGAGCACAGUAGAGGCAGGUGGAAUUCCCGGUGUAGCGGUGGAAUGCGUAGAGAUCGGGAAGAACAUCAGUGGCGAAGGCGGCCUGCUGGGCUGCAACUGACGCUGAGGCGCGAAGGCUAGGGUAGCAAACAGG
rnacentral:rRNA from 1 species